UGGGGAAUUUUGGACAAUGGGGGAAACCCUGAUCCAGCCAUCCCGCGUGUGCGAUGAAGGCCUUCGGGUUGUAAAGCACUUUUGGCAGGAAAGAAACGUCAUGGGUUAAUACCCCGUGAAACUGACGGUACCUGCAGAAUAAGCACCGGCUAACUACGUGCCAGCAGCCGCGGUAAUACGUAGGGUGCAAGCGUUAAUCGGAAUUACUGGGCGUAAAGCGUGCGCAGGCGGUUCGGAAAGAAAGAUGUGAAAUCCCAGAGCUCAACUUUGGAACUGCAUUUUUAACUACCGGGCUAGGGUGUGUCAGAGGGAGGUGGAAUUCCGCGUGUAGCAGUGAAAUGCGUAGAUAUGCGGAGGAACACCGAUGGCGAAGGCAGCCUCCUGGGAUAACACUGACGCUCAUGCACGAAAGCGUGGGGAGCAAACAGG
rnacentral:rRNA from 1 species